rnacentral:rRNA from 1 species
UUUGAUCCUGGCUCAGGAUGAACGCUGGCGGCGUGCCUAAUACAUGCAAGUCGAGCGAACGGACGAGAAGCUUGCUUCUCUGAUGUUAGCGGCGGACGGGUGAGUAACACGUGGAUAACCUACCUAUAAGACUGGGAUAACUUCGGGAAACCGGAGCUAAUACCGGAUAAUAUUUUGAACCGCAUGGUUCAAAAGUGAAAGACGGUCUUGCUGUCACUUAUAGAUGGAUCCGCGCUGCAUUAGCUAGUUGGUAAGGUAACGGCUUACCAAGGCAACGAUGCAUAGCCGACCUGAGAGGAUGAUCGGCCACACUGGAACUGAGACACGGUCCAGACUCCUACGGGAGGCAGCAGUAGGGAAUCUUCCGCAAUGGGCGAAAGCCUGACGGAGCAACGCCGCGUGAGUGAUGAAGGUCUUCGGAUCGUAAAACUCUGUUAUUAGGGAAGAACAUAUGUGUAAGUAACUGUGCACAUCUUGACGGUACCUAAUCAGAAAGCCACGGCUAACUACGUGCCAGCAGCCGCGGUAAUACGUAGGUGGCAAGCGUUAUCCGGAAUUAUUGGGCGUAAAGCGCGCGUAGGCGGUUUUUUAAGUCUGAUGUGAAAGCCCACGGCUCAACCGUGGAGGGUCAUUGGAAACUGGAAAACUUGAGUGCAGAAGAGGAAAGUGGAAUUCCAUGUGUAGCGGUGAAAUGCGCAGAGAUAUGGAGGAACACCAGUGGCGAAGGCGACUUUCUGGUCUGUAACUGACGCUGAUGUGCGAAAGCGUGGGGAUCAAACAGGAUUAGAUACCCUGGUAGUCCACGCCGUAAACGAUGAGUGCUAAGUGUUAGGGGGUUUCCGCCCCUUAGUGCUGCAGCUAACGCAUUAAGCACUCCGCCUGGGGAGUACGACCGCAAGGUUGAAACUCAAAGGAAUUGACGGGGACCCGCACAAGCGGUGGAGCAUGUGGUUUAAUUCGAAGCAACGCGAAGAACCUUACCAAAUCUUGACAUCCUUUGACAACUCUAGAGAUAGAGCCUUCCCCUUCGGGGGACAAAGUGACAGGUGGUGCAUGGUUGUCGUCAGCUCGUGUCGUGAGAUGUUGGGUUAAGUCCCGCAACGAGCGCAACCCUUAAGCUUAGUUGCCAUCAUUAAGUUGGGCACUCUAAGUUGACUGCCGGUGACAAACCGGAGGAAGGUGGGGAUGACGUCAAAUCAUCAUGCCCCUUAUGAUUUGGGCUACACACGUGCUACAAUGGACAAUACAAAGGGCAGCGAAACCGCGAGGUCAAGCAAAUCCCAUAAAGUUGUUCUCAGUUCGGAUUGUAGUCUGCAACUCGACUACAUGAAGCUGGAAUCGCUAGUAAUCGUAGAUCAGCAUGCUACGGUGAAUACGUUCCCGGGUCUUGUACACACCGCCCGUCACACCACGAGAGUUUGUAACACCCGAAGCCGGUGGAGUAACCUUUUAGGAGCUAGCCGUCGAAGGUGGGACAAAUGAUUGGGGUGAAGUCGUAACAAGGUAGCCGUAUCGGAAGGUGCGGCUGGAUCACCU